CGGGUCCUAGUGAAUGUCAUGAGCUCACCAUGCUGCAACCGUGGUGGCGGUGACGCUCAUCCUCGUGGACGACCUCUUAGUUAUUGAAGCAAGGGAGCAUAGGAUGCUGAUGUCUUAAAGGGAGCAUAGGAUGCUGAUGUCUUAUGAGGGAGCAUAGGAUGCUGAUGUCUUAUUCAUGACUAUUGGGUGGCCGUCUUCGACUUUCUAGGUGUUUGCUGUUGCAUGGUUGUGGCCCUCGUCCACCG